rnacentral:lncRNA from 1 species
CGUUUCCAAUGAAAUCCUCAAAGCUGUCCAAAUAUCCACUUGUAAAUGCUGUAAAAAGAGUGUUUCAAAACUGCUCUAGCAAAGGAAAAGUUCAUCUCUGUGUGUUUAGUAAACACAUCAAAAAGAAUUUCCUGAGAAUGCUUCUGUCUAGUUUUUAUGGGAAGAUAUUCCCGUUUCCAACCAAAGUCUCAAAGCUAUCCAAAUAUCCCCUUGUAAAUGCUGCAAAAAGAUUGUUUCAAAACUGCUCUAGAAAAAGAAAGGUUCAUCUCUGUGAGUUGAAUACAUGCAUUACCAAGAAGUUUGUGAGAAUGCCUCUGUCUAGUUUUUAUGUGAAGAUAUUUCCUUUUUCACCAUAGGCCUCAAUGCACUCCGAAUGUCCACUUGCAGAUUCUACAAAAAGAGUCUUUCAAAACUGCUCUAUGAAAAGGAAUGUUCAACUCUGACUUAAAUGCAAACAUCACAAAGAGGUCUCUGAGAAUGCUUCUGUCUAGUUUUUAUGUGAAUAUAUUCCCGUUUCCAACGAAGGCCACAAAGCGCUCCAAAUGUCCACAUACAGAUUCUACAAAAGGAGUGUUUAAAUACGCUCUAUCAAAAGAAAGGUUCAACUCUGUGAUUUUAAUGCACACAGCACAAAGAAGUUUCAGAGAAAGCUUCUGUCUAGUGAUU